rnacentral:rRNA from 1 species
CAGUAGCCGCGGUAAUACGUAGGGUGCGAGCGUUAAUCGGAAUUACUGGGCGUAAAGCGUGCGCAGGCGGUUGUGUAAGGCAGGUGUGAAAUCCCCGGGCUUAACCUGGGAACUGCGCUUGUGACUGCACAGCUAGAGUAUGGCAGAGGGGGGUGGAAUUCCACGUGUAGCAGUGAAAUGCGUAGAGAUGUGGAGGAACACCGAUGGCGAAGGCAGCCCCCUGGGCCAAUACUGACGCUCAUGCACGAAAGCGUGGGGAGCAAACAGGAUUAGAUACCCCGGUAGUCCCUGUCUCUUAUAC